rnacentral:rRNA from 1 species
UACGAAGGGUGCAAACGUUGCUCGGAAUUAUUGGGCGUAAAGCGCACGUAGGCGGCUCUAUAAGUCGGAUGUGAAAUCCCUCGGCUCAACCAAGGGAGUGCAUUCGAAACUGUAGAGCUUGAGUAGUUAAGAGGAUCGCGGAAUUCCCGGUGUAGAGGUGAAAUUCGUAGAUAUCGGGAGGAACACCAGUGGCGAAGGCGGCGAUCUGGGAACAUACUGACGCUGAGGUGCGAAAGCGUGGGGAGCAAACAGG